rnacentral:lncRNA from 1 species
UAUUUUCAUGAUCUUUUAAUCCAAAGCUUAGCGAGAGCGUUCGAGAAAGACUUGCGUUCCUCGUGGGUCUACUUAAUGAAGAAAAAGGUUGGAGGAAACAGCUGGAGGUGGAUCUGUCUGUAUCCAAGGCUGCUCUCAAAACAGAAAAAGAGGUCAUCCAAAGAGACCAUGAGGAGCUGAAUCUAGACCUUAAGAGACACAAUGCACUCCUAGACCAGGAGAAGAUCAAGCUGUGUGCGGAGCUGAAGCAGGCCCAGGCCAAAGUAGCCCAGCUGGAUGGGAGCGGAGCAGGACGAGUGGUAGAGCUGGAGAGACUCCAGCAGAGGGUCGGAGAUCUGGAGCCGGAGGUGGCCAGAAGCACUCAGAACCGAAAGACUAACAGCAGCUUGAUGGAGGAGCUUAAUUCAGAGAGAGCGCGUGUGAUCGCUGCUGACAAGAAGGUUGUAGAACUGCAGCAGCAACUGAAGAAUGCACUGCACCAGCUACGUCUAGAGGAGGCCAGAGCGGGAGAGACCAGCAAACUGGAGAGAGACACCAGAGACAUGUCUGAUAACCUGUCUGCCCUCAGAGCCCGACUGCAAGAGGAGCAACUACAGAGGUCAGACAGGACACUGUACCAAUUAGCAUUCAUUUUGGCAGGCGUUUUUUAAUUUUGUCCUGUCAAAUGUUCUUUUUAAUUUUUAUCAUAUUUAGUCAACAUAUCCUUUUUUGUUUAGUCAAGUUUUAGUUGAGUCUGGAAAAAGCCUAGGAGUUUUAGUCAAUGAAAAAACUGUCAUAUUAUAGUCAUGUUGCAUAAUGGUUCAACAAAUACACACAAAAUAGUUCCAGUUCUUGUAAUAUUAGAAAUAUAGAAAUCAGUUUUCUACAUUAUCAAAACUGGUAAAAGUCAAAAGCUAAAACAGUGAAAUGCCUAAUAUUAAUUCCAAUAGAUUAAAUCAAAUAAAUCCCAAAAAUUAUAUUGAUGUUUUGUAUUACACUUCAGUUUGAGCAGAAUAUCUCAGUGGAAGUCACUUAACUCCAACAUUCAUUUUAUACUUUUUUUUUUCAGGUCAUCUGGACUUUUUCUUCUGUGUAGAUAGAGUGUGUGCUCAUGGUUGCCAGGUUGUGAAGAAGAUUUAAAACAUAGGGCUGAACAUCUUGUUUUUUAAGAACAAAGCUGUGAUGGUGGAUUUAAACUCUGCCAAACCCAAACAUGAAGACUCUUGGAGGUUUACACUUUUUCUCUUUUUUUGUUUGAGAAAAUAUAGAGAUUUUGCAUAUAGAGAGUUGUAAUUUUUUUUAACUAAAUUUUAGUUUCGUCUUUUUUCAUCAAUUAUAUUGAGUGGUGAUAUAGUCACAGUGUUUAAUAUUGUCAGUUUCAUCUUGUCUUCGUCUCAUUUUAAUAAUGGGAAAAAGGUUGUGAACAAAUAUUUUUCAUCAUAAAAAUAACAAAAUAUGAAGUGGACUUUAAGUUGACUUUGUUUUUCCUGACAGGAAACUACUUCAGCAGAAAGAUGAGAAACUCCAGCAGCAGGUGCACUCAUUGCAGGCGAAGGAGGCAACUCUGACACGCACUAACUCAGAGAUGUCUCACCGCACACAGGAGCUGGAGAGUGAACUUAACACAGCUAGAGAAGAGGUUUGUGGGGUCAAACUGAAUCUGAAUUCUGCUGAAAUGAUGUGUCAGUGGAGCUCCUGACCAUGAACUACCAAUGUGUCCUGCAGCAGAGAAGCAGUCAGAAGAGCUGCCACAGGCUGGAAGAACAGCUGCUGUCUUCCCAGCAUGAGUCUGAGAGACUGCAGGAAGAACUGAAGCUGGUCGACAGCAGCUUGACACUAACAUCAGGUAUCAGUCUUUACUGAGUGGAUAUUGUAGUCUAAAGGCUGGAAUACACUACAUGAAUUUUAUGUAGAUUUUUGCCCUGAUUUGCAGUCUGGAGGAGUCGAUGCUAGUUAAAGAAAGUCAGAGCCAGUUUGGAGAUUUUGGGUUUUGAGAGAUUUCACUUGAUUAAAAGUACAAAUAUAAAAUGCAGUGUGUUAAUAUGAAAUGGUGAAACUCAUGUUCUGCAGGAGAUACUAUGAGAAACAGUCUCAACACAAAACCAAAUUGCGCAGAGCUAAACAGAUCUUCAUGAAGACAGUCACCCAACAUUAGCACAGGAUCCAGCAGUUAGAUAACGAUCUGGCUCUUGCGACAAGUCUCUCAAAGAAAGUGAGUGUUUUCUUAUCUGACAUUUGACACUACAUGCGUAACUUGCACUUCAUCUUGAGUGUAUUACACUAUGAGCAGGAGAAGGACUGGAUUAGGACUGUGACAGAAGAAAACGACCAGCUCCUCCUAGAGAGACGAGAACUUCUGCAGCGAAUAAGUGAAGCCGAGGAGAUGGGAAACAAUGGACUGAGAACCACCACUUUGUCCUGUAAUCUCUUAGAGUUAAAUUCCUAGAGAUGGAAAAUAAACAGCUGCAAGAAAAAACUCUAACACUGGCCAAUCAGAUAGGAAUUUUAGAUCGGUCAUUGAGAAACCUUCAGUCGCUGUGUACUGUUGAGGUACACAUUUAUUUAGAAGUUGUUCUUUUUAUUAGUAUUUAAAUAAACAUUUUGAAUUGGCUGGAUUGCACUGAUGUUACAAUUUUGUGUGUGUUUCUGUCUUAGGAGGUCAAGAAAAUGUUUCCUUCUGGAUCUCAUCCUGAUGGCCAGCUGCAGACAUCAACUCCAAG